rnacentral:tRNA from 1 species
GGGAAUGUGGCUCAGCAGCACAGCACCUGCCUGGCAAGCACGAGGCCCUGAGUUUGAUUCCCAGUACCA